rnacentral:rRNA from 1 species
UGAGGAAUAUUGGUCAAUGGGGGCAACCCUGAACCAGCCAAGUCGCGUGAAGGAUGAAGGUCUUAUGGAUUGUAAACUUCUUUUACCCGGGAAUAAAGCGUGGGACGUGUCCCUCUUUGCAUGUACCGUGUGAAUAAGGAUCGGCUAACUCCGUGCCAGCAGCCGCGGUAAUACGGAGGAUCCGAGCGUUAUCCGGAUUUAUUGGGUUUAAAGGGUGCGCAGGCGGGAUGUUAAGUCGGCGGUGAAAUUUUGCAGCUCAACUGUAAAAGUGCCUUCGAUACUGGCCUGCUUGAGUGUGGAUGAAGUCGGCGGAAGUUGUGGUGUAGCGGUGAAAUGCGUAGAUAUCACGAGGAACUCCGAUUGCGCAGGCAGCUUACUAAGCCACAACUGACGCUCCUGCACGAAGGCGUGGGGAUCAAACA